rnacentral:rRNA from 1 species
GGGUUGUGAGGUUAAGCGACUAAGCGUACACGGUGGAUGCCCUGGCAGUCAGAGGCGAUGAAGGGCGUGCUAAUCUGCGAUAAGCGCCGGUAAGGUGAUAUGAACCGUUAUAACCGGCGAUACCCGAAUGGGGAAACCCAGUGUGACUCGUCACACUAUCAUUAACUGAAUCCAUAGGUUAAUGAGGCGAACCGGGGGAACUGAAACAUCUAAGUACCCCGAGGAAAAGAAAUCAACCGAGAUUCCCCCAGUAGCGGCGAGCGAACGGGGAGGAGCCCAGAGCCUGAAUCAGCAUGUGUGUUAGUGGAAGCGUCUGGAAAGGCGCGCGAUACAGGGUGACAGCCCCGUACACAAAAGCGCAUGUGCUGUGAGCUCGAUGAGUAGGGCGGGACACGUGGUAUCCUGUCUGAAUAUGGGGGGACCAUCCUCCAAGGCUAAAUACUCCUGACUGACCGAUAGUGAACCAGUACCGUGAGGGAAAGGCGAAAAGAACCCCGGCGAGGGGAGUGAAAAAGAACCUGAAACCGUGUACGUACAAGCAGUGGGAGCCCCACCACCAAAGCAUUCUCUGGUGUUGAAGGCCCUGCAAAGCAGCAUCGCGGUGGCGGAGCGUCGUUUGCGACGCCCAACACACAAAACAAGCGGUGAAUGCUUUGGGGUGGGGUGACUGCGUACCUUUUGUAUAAUGGGUCAGCGACUUAUAUUCUGUAGCAAGGUUAACCGUAUAGGGGAGCCGUAGGGAAACCGAGUCUUAACCGGGCGUUAAGUUGCAGGGUAUAGACCCGAAACCCGGUGAUCUAGCCAUGGGCAGGUUGAAGGUUGGGUAACACUAACUGGAGGACCGAACCGACUAAUGUUGAAAAAUUAGCGGAUGACCUGUGGCUGGGGGUGAAAGGCCAAUCAAACCGGGAGAUAGCUGGUUCUCCCCGAAAGCUAUUUAGGUAGCGCCUCGUGAAUUCAUCUCCGGGGGUAGAGCACUGUUUCGGCUAGGGGGCCAUCCCGGCUUACCAACCCGAUGCAAACUGCGAAUACCGGAGAAUGUUAUCACGGGAGACACACGGCGGGUGCUAACGUCCGUCGUGAAGAGGGAAACAACCCAGACCGCCAGCUAAGGUCCCAAAGUCAUGGUUAAGUGGGAAACGAUGUGGGAAGGCCCAGACAGCCAGGAUGUUGGCUUAGAAGCAGCCAUCAUUUAAAGAAAGCGUAAUAGCUCACUGGUCGAGUCGGCCUGCGCGGAAGAUGUAACGGGGCUAAACCAUGCACCGAAGCUGCGGCAGCGACACUGAUGUGUUGUUGGGUAGGGGAGCGUUCUGUAAGCCUGUGAAGGUGGCCUGUGAGGGUUGCUGGAGGUAUCAGAAGUGCGAAUGCUGACAUAAGUAACGAUAAAGCGGGUGAAAAGCCCGCUCGCCGGAAGACCAAGGGUUCCUGUCCAACGUUAAUCGGGGCAGGGUGAGUCGACCCCUAAGGC